UACAGAGGGGGGCAAGCGUUGUUCGGAAUUACUGGGCGUAAAGGGCGCGUAGGCGGCCUGCUAAGUCGAACGUGAAAUCCCCGGGCUCAACCCGGGAACUGCGUCCGAUACUGGCAGGCUUGAAUCCGGGAGAGGGAUGCGGAAUUCCAGGUGUAGCGGUGAAAUGCGUAGAUAUCUGGAGGAACACCGGUGGCGAAGGCGGCAUCCUGGACCGGCAUUGACGCUGAGGCGCGAAAGCCAGGGGAGCAAACGGG
rnacentral:rRNA from 1 species